AAUGAGUCUUCGCCAAAUAGACGCUUGCGUUAUGCUCGUAGGCGUCGCCCAAGGAUGAGGCCGCGACCGAUCAGGUUGUUGGUGAGGUAAUGGCUCACCAAGCCUUUUACCGGUGCGGGCCGUGAGAGCGGGAGCCCGGAGAUGGGCACUGAGACAAGGGCCCAGGCCCUACGGGGCGCAGCAGUCGCGAAAACUUUGCAAUACACGAAAGUGUGACAGGGCUAUCCCGAGUGCCAUCCGCUGAGGAAGGCUUUUACCCAGUCUAGAACGCUGGGGGAAUAAGGAGAGGGCAAGUCUGGUGUCAGCCGCCGCGGUAAUACCAGCUCUCCGAGUGGUGUGGAUGUUUAUUGGGCCUAAAGCAUCCGUAGCUGGCUAAGUUAGUCCCUUGUUAAAUCCACCGAAUUAAUCGUUGGAUUGCGGGGGAUACUGCUUGGCUAGGGGACGAGAGAGGCAGACGGUAUUUCCGGGGUAGGGGUGAAAUCCUAUAAUCCCGGGAAGACCACCAGUGGCGAAGGCUGUCUGCUAGAACGCGCCCGACGGUGAGGGAUGAAAGCUGGGGGAGCGAACCGGAUUAGAUACCCGGGUAGUCCCAGCUGUAAACGAUGCAGGCUAGGUGUUUGGACGGCCACGUGCCGUUCUAGUGCCGCAGGGAAGCUGCUAAGCCUGCCGCCUGGGGAGUACGAUCGCAAGAUUGAAACUUAAAGGAAUUGGCGGGGGAGCACCACAAGGGGUGAAGCUUGCGGUUUAAUUGGAUUCAACGCCGGG
rnacentral:rRNA from 1 species